rnacentral:rRNA from 1 species
UACGUAGGUGGCAAGCGUUAUCCGGAUUUACUGGGUGUAAAGGGCGUGUAGGCGGGAUGGUAAGUCAGAUGUGAAAACUAUGGGCUCAACCCAUAGCCUGCAUUUGAAACUAUCGUUCUUGAGUGUUGGAGAGGCAGGCGGAAUUCCGUGUGUAGCGGUGAAAUGCGUAGAUAUACGGAGGAACACCAGUGGCGAAGGCGGCCUGCUGGACAAUAACUGACGCUGAGGCGCGAAAGCGUGGGGAGCAAACA